AGAGUUUGAUCCUGGCUCAGGAUGAACGCUAGCUACAGGCUUAACACAUGCAAGUCGAGGGGCAGCAUGGGAUUAGCUUGCUAAUCCUGAUGGCGACCGGCGCACGGGUGAGUAACGCGUAUCCAACCUGCCCAUGACUACGGGAUAGCCCGUCGAAAGACGGAUUAAUACCAUAUACGGUGCUUAGAGGACAUCUGACGAGCAUUAAAGAUUCAUCGGUCAUGGAUGGGGAUGCGUCCGAUUAGCUUGUUGGCGGGGCAACGGCCCACCAAGGCGACGAUCGGUAGGGGUUCUGAGAGGAAGGUCCCCCACAUUGGAACUGAGACACGGUCCAAACUCCUACGGGAGGCAGCAGUGAGGAAUAUUGGUCAAUGGGCGCGAGCCUGAACCAGCCAAGUAGCGUGCAGGACGACGGCCCUAUGGGUUGUAAACUGCUUUUGUGCGGGGAUAAAGUUCGGGACGUGUCCCGGAUUGCAGGUACCGCACGAAUAAGGACCGGCUAAUUCCGUGCCAGCAGCCGCGGUAAUACGGAAGGUCCGGGCGUUAUCCGGAUUUAUUGGGUUUAAAGGGAGCGUAGGCCGGAGGUCAAGCGUGCCGUGAAAUGCGUCGGCUCAACCGGCGCACUGCGGCGCGAACUGGCUUCCUUGAGUGGACGGAACGUGCGCGGAAUUCGUGGUGUAGCGGUGAAAUGCUUAGAUAUCACGAAGAACUCCGAUUGCGAAGGCAGCGCGCGGCAGUCCUACUGACGCUGAAGCUCGAAAGCGCGGGUAUCGAAAAGGAUUAGAUACCCUGGUAGUCCGAGCGGUAAA
rnacentral:rRNA from 1 species